UACGUAGGGUGCGAGCGUUAAUCGGAAUUAUUGGGCGUAAAGGGCUCGUAGGCGGUUUGUCGCGUCGGGAGUGAAAACCAGGUGCUUAACACCUGGCUUGCUUUCGAUACGGGCAGACUAGAGGUAUUCAGGGGAGAACGGAAUUCCUGGUGUAGCGGUGAAAUGCGCAGAUAUCAGGAGGAACACCGGUGGCGAAGGCGGUUCUCUGGGAAUGACCUGACGCUGAGGAGCGAAAGUGUGGGGAGCGAACAGG
rnacentral:rRNA from 1 species